UAGGGAAUCUUCGGCAAUGGACGAAAGUCUGACCGAGCAACGCCGCGUGAGUGAAGAAGGUUUUCGGAUCGUAAAACUCUGUUGUUAGAGAAGAACAAGGACGUUAGUAACUGAACGUCCCCUGACGGUAUCUAACCAGAAAGCCACGGCUAACUACGUGCCAGCAGCCGCGGUAAUACGUAGGUGGCAAGCGUUGUCCGGAUUUAUUGGGCGUAAAGCGAGCGCAGGCGGUAUCUUAAGUCUGAUGUGAAAGCCCCCGGCUCAACCGGGGAGGGUCAUUGGAAACUGGGAGACUUGAGUGCAGAAGAGGAGAGUGGAAUUCCAUGUGUAGCGGUGAAAUGCGUAGAUAUAUGGAGGAACACCAGUGGCGAAGGCGGCUCUCUGGUCUGUAACUGACGCUGAGGCUCGAAAGCGUGGGGAGCAAACA
rnacentral:rRNA from 1 species